UACAGAGGUCUCAAGCGUUGUUCGGAUUCAUUGGGCGUAAAGGGUGCGUAGGCGGCGCGGUAAGUCGGGUGUGAAAUCUCGGAGCUUAACUCCGAAACUGCAUUCGAUACUGUCGUGCUUGAGGACUGGAGAGGAGACUGGAAUUUACGGUGUAGCGGUGAAAUGCGUAGAUAUCGUAAGGAAGACCAGUGGCGAAGGCGGGUCUCUGGACAGUUCCUGACGCUGAGGCACGAAGGUCAGGGGAGCUAACGGG
rnacentral:rRNA from 1 species